UACGAAGGGAGCUAGCGUUGCUCGGAUUUACUGGGCGUAAAGGGCGCGUAGGCGGAUUUCUAAGUCGGGGGUGAAAGCCCAGGGCUCAACCCUGGAAUUGCCUUCGAUACUGGAAGUCUUGAGUACGGGAGAGGUGAGUGGAACUCCGAGUGUAGAGGUGAAAUUCGUAGAUAUUCGGAAGAACACCAGUGGCGAAGGCGACUCACUGGCCCGCUACUGACGCUGAGGCGCGAAAGCGUGGGGAGCAAACAGG
rnacentral:rRNA from 1 species